CUCUUUAUCUCUUCUUUUUUUUUUGGCAGAACAUCAGGCUUGGGAUGUGUAAAAGUCAGCCUUAGGCUGAGUAGGAGCUGACCUAUCUAGACUGUGCUGCAUAUUGGAAAGAGAGGAGCUGAGUUUCAAGGAACGUCAGAGGGUAGAGGCCUGAAACAAUCAGGAGGAUGUGACUUUUGUGACUUCAAGUCUUAGGGUUAGGAGAAUUAAUUCUUCAGGCAUUUAAAAUCCCUCUGGUCCUUAAGUUUUCAGUAAAUCCUGCCCUACAUAGAAACAAGAGAAUAUAAGCUUCACCAGGAUUUGGAGAAACCUUUGGAAUGAGCAUUGGAUUUAUCGCAAAACCAAGGAUAGAGAGCGCUCAUUCUUAGGAUCCAUUUCCACAUUCACAGUGCAACUCUGAAGUCAGAAAGUGGCAUUAUUAUCGUAACUCACCUAAGUAUGCAGGACCCCAGGAUGUCCCUUGAAGGCUGCAAAAUGCUGGUGUCAGAUACUUGGUUUUGCCUUUGAAACCAAAUCCACUUGCUCACCUUGAGAUAUCUGGACAAGCAUCUCUGGCUGCAGCUGACCUUGAGAUAUCUGGACAAGCCCAGCUGACCUUGAGAUAUUUGGACAAGCAUCUCUAGCCACAGGAUGCCCUUUCCUUCCCCGACUCAAAGUGAGAUCCUCUCUGUGAUGGUUAGUAUGAGUGUCAACUGAUUGAAUUGAAGGAUGCAAAAUAUUGUUCCUAGGUGUGUCUGUGAAGGUGUUGCCAAAGGAGAUGAACAUUUGAGUCACUAGACUGGGAGAGGCAGACCCACCCUUCAUCUGGGUGGGCACCAUCUAAUCAGCUGCCAACAUAAAAGCAAGCAGAAGAAAAGGGAAAGGGCAGACUUGCUGAGUCUCCCAGCCUUCAUCUUUCUCCCCUGCUGGAUGCUUCUGCCCUCAAACAUCAGACUCCAAGUUCUUCAGCUUUUGGACUCUUAGACUUACACCACCGUUUUCCAGGGGCCCUCAGGCCUUCGGCCACAGACUGAAGGCUGCACUAUCAGCUUCUCUACCUACUUUUGAGGUUUUGGACUUGGACUGGCUUCCUGGCUCCUCAGCUUGCAGACGACACAUUGUGGGACUUUACCUUGUGAUUGAGGACACCAGACGUGAAGGAAGGAAAGAAGAGACAGAGGAGAUAGUUACUUGGCUACAGCUCUUUGGGUUCCUCAGCUGUCAAUUUCCAGUGACACGUCAUCACUAGCAAAUUUAGAGGGUCUCGGGCUGAGUUGAACAAACAUUAUCCUCCAGAUGGGAAGCUGUGCUUUUUAAUCAGAGCUUCUGUUUGCUUCACAUCUCUCUGGAACACAAAGACAUUUUCUUAAA
rnacentral:lncRNA from 1 species